CAUACAGUCAGUGCGAGUGUGACUAAACUGACUGCAGCAGAAUGACUCACCCUGUUGCUAUGGCAACCUAAAGACACGCUCUCCUCUAAUGAGCGAUUUCAACUGCUGGUGGAGCAGCAGCUAAAGGGGAGAAAAUCACUGCAGUAUGAAACCCAGCGGCUGCUUCUUCUCCACUGUAGUGGACUGAUGUGUGUGGGUGUUAAGCUCGAAUGCCCUUGGGCUCAGCCUUAUACAGCACACGCUCAUAUGGGGGGUAAAUGACAUCAUUCUCCCCAGAGAAGGCCUCAUCUUCGUCCUCCUCCUCUUCCCCACAACACAGCAAACAUCCAGAAGAAAGGACAAGAAAACGAAAAGUCUGAUAAUUGAUAUGUUUAUUAUAAGAUUUGAUACAUAUCGUUCUUUGACUUUCACUCCUUCUGCAACUAAAAUUUCUCCAUGCACUCUAGAAUAAAGUGUUAUCCUGACAUUUUAAUUUUUUGCUAUCACCAACUCAGCAGCAGGGACAAAGACAACACAUCAACCCUCUGACAGCUUGUUAGUAGAUAAAAAACAAGCCCACAGAUCUACAAAGGACACACUGACAAAUGAUGUGUAUGAGUGUGUGUGUGUGUGUGUGUUGCGCAGGCGCUCUGUGACAAAAAAACUGGGGUCGUGACUAGAAUCUUCUCAUUAUGGAAUGUGUCUCUUUCACACAUUUCAAUCAGUCCACUCAUGACACACACACACAAUGUAAUGGAGCUUCUCUGUCUUAAUUAGGGCCUGGUGGAAACACUCAUUCAGAUUCACCCUCCCGACUAGUAUGAAUAUUAAGUUUGUCAUUCAUGAAUAUCAAAAUCCAUUUUAAACUCAGAAUAAUGGUGGAACUGCACCUUUACAGACCUCCAUUCCCUGCAUCAGAAAUGACUUUUAAAUGAUGCAGUGGCCUCAAAAUGACAUUCUGUAGACACUUUUCAGUAUGGAUACCUAAAAAUGAGUUGAUAGAACAGUCAGUUGCCAAUGAAAGCAUGUCACCAACAAGAAAAUGUGAGUUUUCCCUCCAACCUACCUGUGACAAAACAC